UGUGCCUCCGCGACCUCAUCUGUAAAAUGGGGAUUAAGACUGUUAGCCUCACGUGGGACAACCUGAUCACCCUGUAUCUACCCCAGUGCUUAGAACAGUGCUCCGCACAUAGUAAGCGCUUAACAAAUUACCAACAUUAUUAUUAUUACUACUAAUAAAAGAAGAAGGAAAGGUAAAAUCCCCCACGGAGCCCUAAGGGUUGACUAUAGUUUUGACAUGCAAAAGUUGGGGCCUCCAAGUGCAAAAUCACAUCUGGGGGUUUGCCAGACCAAAAAUACUGAAGGCUGAGACUUCAAUGGCUCCUUUCCACCCUCAGCCGUGCCUUAUACCCCGGGUUCCUGCCCUGCCCAAGGUGGGAGAGUGACGAUGACUGGGAGAUGGCGGCCGAAUCCCAGGUGAGCUGCGGUUGGUUCUGCGCUUCUUGAGGUCGCGCCUUUACUGCCAGAUUGUGGCCCUGUAGUCUUCCCACCCCCGUAGAGCUAACCUCCCUCCCUUUGGUGGGGGGCACAUUGAGCCUCAUUUCCUGUCCUCGUGUACACUAAGGUCGCUGGCCUCUUUAGUACGUGCCCUCCCUUUCCCCAGACCCCCCCGGUUGCCCUGAAUCAUCUCCGUUCCGUUGCCUGAGUUGAACCCUUCCACCUCCCACAGUUGGUGGAUGCGUUAGCUGCCCCCCAGCAAGGACUUAGCGAGGGUCUUGGGCUUGUUUGGGGGCCCGUGAGGCUUGAGCCCGUGCCCUUGUAUCUCUCCCAGGAGUCCUGGGCCACCUCAGCCCUGCUCAGAAGGACCUCUACGGGGACAUCGCGUCAGGAGCACCAGGCGAAUGAGAUCCCUCUACGGAUUACCCUGUUUAAAAUCUGCUGUGAUCUCCCAACUGGGAGCCGGGAAAGGAAAUGUGGAAGCUGGAGUUCCAGGCUUUGGGGAAGAGAGGAACCCCAAGAGCCCUUGACCUAGGGGAAGAUCAAGGGGAGACCAGGGGCAGCCAUCUGCAAGGAAAGAGGUUGAAAAGCUGGAGAGAGGCAGGAGCAGUGGGAUGUGAGGAUAUGAAGGU
rnacentral:lncRNA from 1 species